rnacentral:misc_RNA from 1 species
GAGAAUUUUCUCUCAUUUUGGUCCUUCCCAGAGGCUAAGUCCUCUGUGUUUUGAAGGUCAGCGGCUUACCCUGCCCCAUCUGAACAGGAUAAGACUUUUUGUCCUUGACCAGAAAAUGAGUUCUUCCAUCCCCACUUUCGGGAGGGAUAUCUUUAGGCUGCCAUUUGGUUCGGUUGUUUGCUUUUUGGUGCGAAUAUGUUUGCUAGUAGUUGUGGAGGCUUUGCUCUAGCGGUUCUGAUUGGGGGAUUAUGCUUCAGCUACAGCGUCAUGGGAGAAAAGGGUAUCUCGAGGGCUUCAAGUGUCGGGCU